CGGGUGAGUAACACGUGAACGUUAACCUCGUCCCUUGUACGUUUGGGAAUUAACUUCGAGAACGUGGGCUAAGUACCGGAGUAGGAGCCUCCUGCUGCAUGGGUGGGGGUUGGAAAGUUUCGGCGGUUGGGGAUGGACUCGCGGCUUAUCAGCUUGUUGGUGGGGUAGUGGCUUACCAAGGCUUUGACGGGUAGCCGGCCUGAGAGGGUGACCGGCCACAUUGGGACUGAGAUACGGCCCAGACUCCUACGGGAGGCAGCAGUGGGGAAUAUUGCACAAUGGGCGGAAGCCUGAUGCAGCAACGCCGCGUGCGGGAUGACGGCCUUCGGGUUGUAAACCGCUUUCGCCUGUGACGAAGCGUGAGUGACGGUAAUGGGUAAAGAAGCACCGGCUAACUACGUG
rnacentral:rRNA from 1 species